UUGCCAAAUCAGCGCUCGCCGGAGCUCUGAACUCUGGCGAGGAUCCGCUCCAAAUAAUUUUCAAACAUGAGGACAAUUUACAAUGAAUUUUUCGGGGAGGGACCUAGAUCAGACGGCGA
rnacentral:pre_miRNA from 1 species